rnacentral:rRNA from 1 species
UUCGCAAUGCCCGAAAGGGUGACGAAGCGACGCCGCGUGUGGGAAGAAGGCCUUCGGGUUGUAAACCACUGUCGGGAGUUAAGAAAUGCAAGGAUAUUAAUAGUGUCUUUGUUUGACUAAGGCUCCGGAGGAAGCCACGGCUAACUCUGUGCCAGCAGCCGCGGUAAUACAGAGGCGGCAAGCGUUGUUUGGAAUUAUUGGGCGUAAAGAGCACGUAGGCGGCUGUGUAAGUCGGUUGUGAAAGCCUUCCGCUCAACGGAAGAACGGCAUCCGAUACUGCAUGGCUUGAGUGUGGGAGGGGAGAGUGGAACUUCUGGUGGAGCGGUGGAAUGCGUAGAUAUCAGAAGGAACACCGGCGGCGAAGGCGACUCUCUGGUCCAUAACUGACGCUGAGUGUGCGAAAGCUAGGGGAGCAAACGGGAUUAGAUACCCCGGUAGUCCUAGCCGUAAACGAUGGGCACUAAGUAGAGGGGUUUU